GACGAACGCUGGCGGCGUGCUUAACACAUGCAAGUCGAACGGAAAGGCCCUGCUUUUGUGGGGUGCUCGAGUGGCGAACGGGUGAGUAACACGUGAGUAACCUGCCCUUGACUUUGGGAUAACUUCAGGAAACUGGGGCUAAUACCGGAUAGGAGCUCCUGCUGCAUGGUGGGGGUUGGAAAGUUUCGGCGGUUGGGGAUGGACUCGCGGCUUAUCAGCUUGUUGGUGGGGUAGUGGCGUACAAAGGCUGUGACGGGUAGCCGGCCUGAGAGGGUGACCGGCCACAAUAGGACUGAGGUACGGCCCAGACUGCUACGGGAGGCAGCAGUGGGGAGUAUUGCGCAAUGGGCGGAAGCCUGAUGCAGCAACGCCGCGUGCGGGAUGACGGCCUUCGGGUGAUAAACCGAUUUCGCCUUUGACAAGGAGUGAGUGACGGUAAUGGGUAAGGAAGCACCGGCUAACUACGUG
rnacentral:rRNA from 1 species